AUACUUACCUGGCAGGGGAGAUACCAUGAUCACGAAGGUGGUUUUCCCAGGGCGAGGCUUAUCCAUUGCACUCCGGAUGUGCUGACCCCUGCGAUUUCCCCAAAUGUGGGAAACUCGACUGCAUAAUUUGUGGUAGUGGGGGACUGCGUUCGCGCUNNNNNNNN
rnacentral:snRNA from 1 species